GAAUUUUGGACAAUGGGUGAAAGCCUGAUCCAGCCAUGCCGCGUGCAGGAUGAAGGCCUUCGGGUUGUAAACUGCUUUUGUACGGAACGAAAAGACUCCUUCUAAUAAAGGGGGACCAUGACGGUACCGUAAGAAUAAGCACCGGCUAACUACGUGCCCGCCGCCGCGGUAAUACGUAGGGGGCAAGCGUUAAUCGGAAUUACUGGGCGUAAAGCGUGCGCAGGCGGUUAUAUAAGACAGAUGUGAAAUCCCCGGGCUCAACCUGGGAACUGCAUUUGUGACUGUAUAGCUAGAGUACGGUAGAGGGGGAUGGAAUUCCGCGUGUAGCAGUGAAAUGCGUAGAUAUGCGGAGGAACACCGAUGGCGAAGGCAAUCCCCUGGACCUGUACUGACGCUCAUGCACGAAAGCGUGGGGAGCAAACAGG
rnacentral:rRNA from 1 species